rnacentral:rRNA from 1 species
AUUGAACGCUGGCGGCAUGCUUUACACAAGCAAGUCGAACGGUAACAGGCCGCAAGGUGCUGACGAGUGGCGAACGGGUGAGUAAUGCAUCGGAACGUGCCCAGUCGUGGGGGAUAACGCAGCGAAAGCUGCGCUAAUACCGCAUACGAUCUGUGGAUGAAAGCGGGGGACCGAAAGGCCUCGCGCGAUUGGAGCGGCCGAUGUCAGAUUAGGUAGUUGGUGGGGUAAAGGCCCACCAAGCCAACGAUCUGUAGCUGGUCUGAGAGGACGACCAGCCACACUGGGACUGAGACACGGCCCAGACGCCUACGGGAGGCAGCAGUGGGGAAUUUUGGAAAAUGGGCGCAAGCCUGAUCCAGCAAUGCCGCGUGCAGGAAGAAGGCCUUCGGGUUGUAAACUGCUUUUGUACGGAACGAAACGGUUCUGGUUAAUACCUGGGGCUAAUGACGGUACCGUAAGAAUAAGCACCGGCUAACUACGUGCCAGCAGCCGCCGUAACAC